UGGCGAACGGGUGAGUAACACGUGGGUAAUCUGCCCUGCACUCUGGGAUAAGCCUGGGAAACUGGGUCUAAUACUGGAUAUGACCUUUCUCCUUAUGGGGUUUGGUGGAAAGUUUUUCGGUGUAGGAUGAGCCCGCGGCCUAUCAGCUUGUUGGUGGGGUGAUGGCCUACCAAGGCGACGACGGGUAGCCGGCCUGAGAGGGUGAUCGGCCACAUUGGGACUGAGAUACGGCCCGG
rnacentral:rRNA from 1 species